GACGAGCUGGGAGCAGCUUGCAGGGCUGCUGGCGGUUAGAGAAAUGUAGAGCAAGUGCCUAACACAGAGCCUCGCAUGCAGGAAAGCCAGGCUAAGAAGCAAACACAGCGCAGUCUACCGACCGGAGGGGCCAGAUGCUGCUCUUCUGACAGUGCAGCUCCGCUGUCCGCUAGCGAUUGUGGAAAGCACCGUGUCACAGUGACCCUAGCUGGAGAGCAACCACAGCCUGCCAUGUAGCCCCAUGCUGCUGCCAAGCCGUACCUCCUAACCUG